GUGUGUGUGCGUCACCCUUCCCCCACACGAGCGGGAGUCGGGCCUGCGGCCAGGGCCAGGGGUGCGGCUGGCCCUGCCGGCGUCUGGCGUCUUUUGCAGACCAGCUGAGCACUGACCUGCCCCACGAUGUCUACGAAGGAGACGAGGUCGUGGUGCGGUGCUCUGGGGUGAGCGGCAGCAUGACAGGGGAGGUGAUGUACUACAAGGAUGAGUCUCUGCCGGCCACUCACUACCACGCCUCAGGCUACACCACCCCAAACGCGAGCCCCAGUGACAGCGGCUCCUAGUCCCGUGAGGUCCGCCAGCUGGUCUUCUACAGAUUGACGACGGAGAGGACGAGGUCUGUAUGGCUCACGGUCCGCGAGCUGUUUCCGGCUCCCACGCUGACCGUCAGGCCCUCGCAGCCCACCGAGGGGAGCUCAGUGACCCUGUCCUGUGACACCCAGCUUCCCCGGGACAGGUCGGGGACGCAGCUUCGCGCCUCCUUCUUCAGGGAUGAACACACCCUGAGAUCGCACGGAAACGCAUCGGAGUUUCGGAUCUCGGCCAUAUGGAGGGAGGGCCGGGAUUCUACUGGUGUGAGGUGGCCACGGCGUCCCACAGCGUCUUGAAGCUGAGUCCUCGGUCCCACGGGCUUGUGCCGAGUGAGCCCAGGGGCGGGCUGCCGGCGGGGUCCUGGGUCACACGGAGAGGAGCAGGGCUCCCUGGAGACGCCAGCUGUGCCUCCCCUGUCCCUGCGGGCGUGGUGGGUACAGGGUCUCAGGGACUGCCCUGGACUCUGCUGUCAGUGGCCACGGGGGCCCGGUCUCCCUGGCCCUGCUCUCCUGGUCUGCAAAGCGACCAUCGUAAGCUCUCCUGGAGCACCUUGUGUUACGCUCCGAGGUAAAUAAUGGUGGCGUCUGUCUGUAGGGAGCUGCCCCAGCCGCGAACACCCUGCCCUGGGAGAGCCCGGGGUGGGGGGCAACAGCAGCAAUGGCAGGAAGAGCCCCCAGCCCCGAAAAGCACUCCCGAAUGCCAGGCCUGAUGGGCUGCUGGGCUCGGUUCCAGGAAUCCCAGGACAGGGAGGACUUGCAGGAGGUGUUCCAAGCGCAGGCCUUGCUCCGAGCAGGUCUGGGGGCCCCGCGGAGCCCUGGGGAAUCUAUAAUGUGGUUCAUCAGUGUCCCCAUGACACACACCCGGGGACUGAAAGCCCAGAGCAGCCACGUGACCUGCCCGGGGUCACCCAGCUGGAACAGGAACGCAGGCACACCGCGCCAGCGUCCGCCCCUGCCCCACGCCGUGUGGGGGACAGCAGUGCUGCCGACGGCUGCCGGGUGCCGGACCCUGAGACAGCCGCAGGAUGGGCCUCUCCCUUCAUCACCAGCAGAGCUCUGUCAGGCUGGGACGGGGCUCCACACUCCUUCUUGGAGGAAACGUGGGGUCGGACAGCUGCACUGACCCGCUGAGAUCACGUGGUGUCCCAGUGUCUGCCGUGCUCCUGGAGACCCUGCCCCAGGG